UCAUUACAGAGUUAUCCACUCCCAACCCAUGUGAACAUAUCUCUUUGUUGCCUCGGCGCAAGCUACCCGGGACCUCGCGCCCCGGGCGGCCCGCCGGCGGACAAACCAAACUCUGUUAUCUUCGUUGAUUAUCUGAGUGUCUUAUUUAAUAAGUCAAAACUUUCAACAACGGAUCUCUUGGUUCUGGCAUCGAUGAAGAACGCAGCGAAAUGCGAUAAGUAAUGUGAAUUGCAGAAUUCAGUGAAUCAUCGAAUCUUUGAACGCACAUUGCGCCCAUUAGUAUUCUAGUGGGCAUGCCUGUUCGAGCGUCAUUUCAACCCCUAAGCACAGCUUAUUGUUGGGCGUCUACGUCUGUAGUGCCUCAAAGACAUUGGCGGAGCGGCAGCAGUCCUCUGAGCGUAGUAAUUCUUUAUCUCGCUUCUGUUAGGCGCUGCCCCCCCGGCCGUAAAACCCCCAAUUUUUUCUGGUUGACCUCGGAUCAGGUAGGAAUACCCGCUGAACUUAAGCAUAUCAAUAAGCGGAGGA
rnacentral:rRNA from 1 species